rnacentral:rRNA from 1 species
UCCAGAGUUUGAUCAUGGCUCAGAUUGAACGCUGGCGGCAGGCCUAACACAUGCAAGUCGAACGGUAACAGGAAGCAGCUUGCUGCUUUGCUGACGAGUGGCGGACGGGUGAGUAAUGUCUGGGAAACUGCCUGAUGGAGGGGGAUAACUACUGGAAACGGUAGCUAAUACCGCAUAACGUCGCAAGACCAAAGAGGGGGACCUUCGGGCCUCUUGCCAUCGGAUGUGCCCAGAUGGGAUUAGCUAGUAGGUGGGGUAACGGCUCACCUAGGCGACGAUCCCUAGCUGGUCUGAGAGGAUGACCAGCCACACUGGAACUGAGACACGGUCCAGACUCCUACGGGAGGCAGCAGUGGGGAAUAUUGCACAAUGGGCGCAAGCCUGAUGCAGCCAUGCCGCGUGUAUGAAGAAGGCCUUCGGGUUGUAAAGUACUUUCAGCGGGGAGGAAGGCGAUAAGGUUAAUAACCUUGUCGAUUGACGUUACCCGCAGAAGAAGCACCGGCUAACUCCGUGCCAGCAGCCGCGGUAAUACGGAGGGUGCAAGCGUUAAUCGGAAUUACUGGGCGUAAAGCGCACGCAGGCGGUCUGUCAAGUCGGAUGUGAAAUCCCCGGGCUCAACCUGGGAACUGCAUUCGAAACUGGCAGGCUAGAGUCUUGUAGAGGGGGGUAGAAUUCCAGGUGUAGCGGUGAAAUGCGUAGAGAUCUGGAGGAAUACCGGUGGCGAAGGCGGCCCCCUGGACAAAGACUGACGCUCAGGUGCGAAAGCGUGGGGAGCAAACAGGAUUAGAUACCCUGGUAGUCCACGCCGUAAACGAUGUCGACUUGGAGGUUGUGCCCUUGAGGCGUGGCUUCCGGAGCUAACGCGUUAAGUCGACCGCCUGGGGAGUACGGCCGCAAGGUUAAAACUCAAAUGAAUUGACGGGGGCCCGCACAAGCGGUGGAGCAUGUGGUUUAAUUCGAUGCAACGCGAAGAACCUUACCUACUCUUGACAUCCAGAGAACUUUCCAGAGAUGGAUUGGUGCCUUCGGGAACUCUGAGACAGGUGCUGCAUGGCUGUCGUCAGCUCGUGUUGUGAAAUGUUGGGUUAAGUCCCGCAACGAGCGCAACCCUUAUCCUUUGUUGCCAGCGGUCCGGCCGGGAACUCAAAGGAGACUGCCAGUGAUAAACUGGAGGAAGGUGGGGAUGACGUCAAGUCAUCAUGGCCCUUACGAGUAGGGCUACACACGUGCUACAAUGGCGCAUACAAAGAGAAGCGACCUCGCGAGAGCAAGCGGACCUCAUAAAGUGCGUCGUAGUCCGGAUUGGAGUCUGCAACUCGACUCCAUGAAGUCGGAAUCGCUAGUAAUCGUGGAUCAGAAUGCCACGGUGAAUACGUUCCCGGGCCUUGUACACACCGCCCGUCACACCAUGGGAGUGGGUUGCAAAAGAAGUAGGUAGCUUAACCUUCGGGAGGGCGCUUACCACUUUGUGAUUCAUGACUGGGGUGAAGUCGUAACAAGGUAACCGUAGGGGAACCUGCGGCUGG